UCUAAUUAGACUAUAAUAAUGGUAAAUAAACGUAAUUCAAUUCAAAACAACUCAAAGAAAUUUCAAACAAACAAUAAAAUUCUUAAAAAAAUAUUAGAAUGAUCACAAAUUUUACUCAAAUAUAUGUCGAUUCAACCUUAAUUUAAUUCUAGUUAAAACCCUAUUGAAUUUCACUCAAUUUUAGACCAAACCUAAUUAAAUCUUAAACCCUAAUAAUUCCUAAACCCUAAGUCAAAUCCUAAACAAAUCUUAAAUUAAACCCUAUUUCAAACCCUAAAUCCUAAACUAAACCCUAAUCCAAUCCUAAACCCUAAACCAAACCUUAAAUCAAAUCCUAACCAAACC
rnacentral:lncRNA from 1 species